rnacentral:tRNA from 1 species
CAGUAGGUAGUUUAGUUAAAAUAUUAAUUUUGGGGAUUAGUGAUAAGGUAAUUUCCUUCCUUCUGA